GGGCCUGUGGCUCAAUGGAGUAGGGCACUGGCCCCAUAUACCAGAGAUGGUGGGUUCAAACCCAGGCCCG
rnacentral:tRNA from 1 species